rnacentral:tmRNA from 1 species
GGGGACGACCGGUUUUGACAGCGAGGUCAAGCAAAUCGUAAGCAUGUCGAGUAAUGAAGUAGCACUCGUAAAACCCAAUUUCACUUUAUAAACGGCGAAAAUAAUUACGCUUUAGCUGCUUAAUCUGAAUUAUAGUAGGAUUUGCUAAUUUCUUGCUAGGCAAGAAGGCUGAAUGUCUCUUAAGAGCCUUGGUUUACGGCGAUUAGUUUAGAGGCAUCGUAAAAGUAAACAUAGGAUUAGAAAUGUUUCGAUUCUAUUCCGAAAUUAAAGAAACUAAGCUUUGAGUGGGCGGUUUUUGGUCAGCUCCUUGUCGAAAAUUAAACAAGAACUAAGCAUGUAGAAAACGGGUUGGUUGCUCGUUUGGACGCGGGUUCGAUUCCCGCCGUCUCCACAA